rnacentral:rRNA from 1 species
UACGUAGGGGGCAAGCGUUGUCCGGAAUCAUUGGGCGUAAAGAGCUCGUAGGCGGCUUGUUGCGUCGGCUGUGAAAACCCAUGGCUCAACCGUGGGCUUGCAGCCGAUACGGGCAGGCUAGAGUUCGGUAGGGGAGACUGGAAUUCCUGGUGUAGCGGUGAAAUGCGCAGAUAUCAGGAGGAACACCGGUGGCGAAGGCGGGUCUCUGGGCCGAUACCGACGCUGAGGAGCGAAAGCGUGGGGAGCGAACAGG